rnacentral:rRNA from 1 species
AGAAUUCCCUAUGGAGACUCCAGAAAGAAGAUCUGGUUGAUAGGCGCAAGGUGGAAGUAUGGCAACAUAUGGAGCCGAAGCGUACUAAUAGGUCCAUCGCCUUUUUAUG